UCUUCUUUAGGUUGUAAUUUCUACAUGGCACACAGCACACGUUGGGUAUCUCAGGACAAUUUUGGCCAGGCCUUUCUGAGCUGAGCAAGGGUGUAACAGAUACACUGUGAAGUACACUUUGUGUAGCUCCAACUUGGCUGAUUUGAAUUCUAUCCCUGUCUUUUCUGUUUAAUAAUGCAUAUGAGAUAUCCCUUCUUUCAACCUCAAGAUGAAAUAUGGAGAUGGAAAUGGUUUAAAAUGCUUUAAAUUGCUGAAACCUUGUGUGUGUAAGGUUAAAAAAAAAUGUAGAUAAAUAGUUCUGAGCAAACAAAUUAAAACUCUGCUGAGGUGGGAGGUGAGUGCCUUAGGAGACAAACAUGUACUGCGGCAGGUAGCCAGGGCUGCAAGACCAAGUGCUCUCCCACCCCAGCCACUAAGCCACAGCACACAGCCAAGGCAUCAGAAGCACUGCAUAAAGCCAUUUUGGUUCUAGCAGGAUUUCACUGCAUCUCCAGUUACUGUCAUUUUAUUUUGCAAUCAUCCUUUUUUUCUUAUCUCACAGAGUGUUUUCAGUCUUUUAGGACUCCUGCAGGAAUGGACCUGGAUUGAAAACUUGCCCAUGUCAAUUCACAAAAAUCACUUCUUGCUUCUGGAUCAGCUGCUUGGGCCUGUUGUGCUGGACUGAACCAGCCCAUGGGAAGUGGAUAAAUGCUGCUUUGUCUGGAACAAAAGUGGGCUGACUUCAUCUACGUGCAUUUAUUCUACAUUGCAUUAGCGUGUGAGAUUCUGGACCAAGCCUGAGCACGGUUCCAGUGACAAGCUGCCCAGAGCUGCAGGGUGUUCAGCACGUCCACACUGAAUUGCUCCCAUCUCUUCAUUUCAAUCUGCACAAGACCUAGAUCAUGUCCACACACCUUUGGCUGCCUGUGUGAACGCGUGCCUUGCUCUAUGCAGGCUGGAGGAGACACUCAACUCUCUCUCCAUAAGGAAGAGGUUGGUGGUGCCUUAGCCUCAGCUCUGGCCAGCUGUACCCUGUUGUCCCCAUGGAAAGCGCACACACUUUUUCCCCAUGCUUCACUCAAUAAAU
ensembl:lncRNA